CAUGCGCACACAUCCGCAGAGUUCCCCCCCUGUCCGCCACCUUCGAAUCCUACAUGCACUCACCUGCGCGCUUACUUGCGCACACGCCUAUUUCUACUAGUAUCACUAUCACCUCUGCGGCCGGCUCUGUCGCUGACGCUCCCCCCUCCCCUUUCUCUGUCUUCAGCGCAGGCGUUUGCGUGUCUCUCUCUCUGUGUGUAUGAUGAGAAAGCGGCCUCAAAAGGGCAUUGGCAUCAUCGUCUUCGCCAUCACUUGCGCGUCUCUUCAGAACCGCCACCACCGUCCCUUCCCAGUGCACGCGCACAUCUGCACGUACCUUGCCAAGGUUUUCAAUUUGCUGUAAUUUCUUCGUGUUGUUGCUCGCCUACUUCUCUUACACACACUUCUGCCUCUCCCCUCCCCCUUCUCCCUGGCCACUGACCCACCGCCCCCCCCUCCUCAUCACUCGCACAGCUCCGUCUCUCUGUGUGUGUGUGCUACGUGUGGAUGUGUCGUCUCUGACGAGCCUCCUUCUCCCCUCUCCUCUGCUCUGCUCUGCCUCCUUCCCUUUUUCUUUCACGCUUCUGCUCACUGGUCUCCCCAGAGCGUGUUGUUCUCAAGGUGUAGAGGCACACGCACGGACGCAAGGGGAGGGGCUGAGCGGACCGCGCCACUCUCCCUCCCCUCCCCUCCGCCAGAGGUGUGCCAUCACAAGCGUGUGUGCGAGGGAGCGACGUAUACAAGGAUAAACAUAGCGAGAGACACACACGCGGUACCGACCGACGCAGCAACAUAGAUCACAUCAUAGAGAAGGAGGCAAGCAGCGAUUAGAGGAAGGGAGGCGACAGGAGCGCUCAGCCUCCGCCGACUGCCCAUCACGCACACACGCUCAUUACACAAAUCUCCGUAAUGCGACGCUGUGGUCGUGCGCCAAUGCGGCAGGUCUCCUCCUGCGGCUUGCUCCUGUCGAGCUGGGCGAUCAUCACCCCCGCGCCCACGUACUCGCGGCGGCAGGUGGCGACGACAGCAAGUGCGGCGGUGGGUAGUGGCGUGGCUAGCAGCACCGCGAACGCACCGUCCUCGCCGAACCCGUCCGCGGCAGCGACAAGCACUGCAGCCGCCGCUGCGGACACUGCGGCAGCGACAUAUGCACCAUAUUCUUCUUCCACCGGUGCGCCGGCGUCAUUAGUUGCGUCACCCAGCGCUCCGUCCUAUACAGCCGCGUCGAGCGCGUCGCUGGCGGAGAUGACUAAUCGGCUGCGAGAAGCGCUGCGGGCACUAUCUGAGGUAGAGAAAGCAAAGGCAGAGCUCGCCAAGAAAUCUGCGGCCGCCACCGCCACGUCGGGCCAGAACUUGUCUACAAGUGUUGGAGAGGGCCGUGUGGCGCCUAGAACAGCACCGAAGGCGGAUCACCCUAGCGCUGCUGGUCCCCCGUCAGCGUUUUCGGCAACGUCUCGACUAGAAGAGCCGACGCCAAGCGAUGGUGGCAGCUCCGGCAGUAGCAGAUCAGGCAACGACGCCAGUGCUGCUGGGACCGUGAAUGCUACCUCGACGCAGAGCGCUAGCACAACGACGUCGUCAUCGUGGAUUCGAAACAAGAAGCCCAAGUUCUGGGCUCUCGUCAAUGAGGCCGGUACCGACGACGUGGAGGCCGACGGCAGCGGCGAACGACUCGCAACGGCCGCCACAGCCUCCACGGCCGCUGACAGUGCAGCGGCGGCAUCACCGAGCACCGAGACUUCUCCUUCGACCAGCACGGCGGUCAGCGCGCCGUUUACAGCAAUGCGACCCACGCUUGCCGGUGAAGCUUCACCCUCGGCGAAGGAGCCUUCACAGGUACGUGCGGCAGCGGAACCGAUGAAGGCUGCCUCGUAUGUCGCGACCGGCUCUUCUCCGCCCUCGAGCGCGGCUGCUAGUGCUGUCUCCACCGCCGCUGUCGGUGCUCGAAGGGACGCAGACUCGUCGAGCUCACCAAAAGCAACCGACCGCGCUGUCACGGCGCACAGCGUCCGCAUCUCGACAUCGGUGUCGCCGUUCCGCAACCGCUACAAGCGCGACGUGGCGCAUGUGCUGUCGGAGCUGCUGAACAGCGACCCCUCGCUGGGACCGCAGCUGCUGGGCCAGCUGUCCGCCGAGAGCCGACGCCUGCUACUCAUCAUGGGGGCGGCCAGUGAGUACUUUGGUGUGGAUUACGAGGAGGUGGCGGAGCAGGUGAAGGUGGCGGACACGGACAGAGACAACUCUAUUUCCUCCAAGGAGUACGACGCCUGGGUGCGGCGCAUGGCCGACUCGACGCCGGCGAAGCGUCGCCACGCAAAGGAGGGCCAGGCAAGCGCGGACACCUUGGACCCGGUGCUGCCGUCGGCCUCCGCCCCUGCUCAGGGCGCCGCUGCGGUCGUCACAGCCGUACCGCCGUCGAUGCCCUCGACAGCGUCACAGAGCAGCAGCCGCGGCCCAGGUGGGACAAGCUCCUCUGCUAAAGCUGCACCUGCCGCUUCCAAGAGCGCACACCCCCCUGCCGCUGCGUCUGCCACGCUAUCCCGUCAAAGAACGGACAUGGCGGUUGGCACAGCAAAGGCCGCUAGCACUUGUAUCAUCGGCGCGAUGCAGAAGAGUCCUCCAUCAGCGGCGGCGGCGGCGGCGCCAGAGAGUCGCGAUGCCGGUGACGGUGCCGCCGUAGCUGGUGGCCCUGCUGCAUCUGUGGCAAUGUCAUCGCCUACGCGUGCCUCUCUCGAGAGCAGCGCUGCCAACAGAAGUCGUGGCUGUGUCAGCGACGCCGCCGGCGGUGGUGCGGGUGCCUCCCCCUUUCUGCCGGUCACCUCAGCUGCCACGGUCACCAGCGCAGCGAGCGCUUCCAUCAAGCAGGACCCGGGCUACAUUCCGUGGCCGACGUACCUGAGGAUUGUCGCGGCCGCCGCGCCGCCGUUCCUGGCCUUUGGGAUGCUGGAUAAUUCCACCCUUGUCCUCGCCGGUGGUGCAAUCGACAACGCCCUAUCCGGCAGCCUAGGCCUCUCGCAGAUGGCCGCCGCCAGUCUCGGCGGCGUUGUCAGCGGCGUGGCGGGAAUUCAAGUGCACGGCCUAGCCGAGCGUUAUACGCGGGCAGCACCGCCACGUCUGACGAUGGAGCAGCAGCGCAGCGAUGCCUACUCGCGUGCCACGCAGGCGGGGAACACGCUGGGGAUGGUGUUUGGGCUCAUCCUUGGCAUGAUCCCGCUGCUGUUCAUGAGCGGGUCGACACAGCUGGCAGAGCAGGAGGAGCGCGACCGUCACCACUUCCAGCGAGAGGCUGCGCGCAGUCACCAGCGUCACUGCAAGACGAUGGAGAAGGAAGAGGCAACACUGCGGCAGCGGCUAUGGGAGGAGGAGGGGGCAGCGCGGGAGGCGCUCCUGCGAGGCAACGACAAGAUGUAGCCUCUUCGCCCUGUUCAAGGACUCAGCAGGCAGACACCUCUUUCUCUCUCUGUGUGGGGAGUAACGGUAACAACAUCGCCAGAGGCGAGACGAGGAAAGGAUCAGGAGCAUGAAUCGUGCACCCCUCUCUCUCCUCGCGACAUACCGUUUCUGCCUUUUCCGCUCCACUUCGCAUCUUCACCUCUCCAUCAGUGGUGUGCGCAUCUGCCCACCCGCUUAUCUACCCACACACCCACACCCCCAGACAGGCUCCAACGAGAUUCGUGUGAAAAGGAUAGCGGAUGUGUGAUAACGAAUAACGCGUAUACGGGUGUGGACGGUGUCCGUGUAGCGAACGAAGCGGCAACGAGGAAAGGCGUAAUUUCUAGCGAGGGGGUGGAGGCCCAUGUUAAAGUUGUGCAACGACCGUCCGCAUCUCAGGCAUGUCGGACCUGUGGGGGCCCUUUCACUGCGUGCCUGCCAGGCCUUAGCACGCUCACACACGCUUUCCCCCAUCCCUUGCCCUUUUCUAUUCCACAGUCUUUUUUCGUUCGCUUCGUCGAUGACUUUCUGAUCCACAGCGCCGAUCACCUCCUCCUUUCCUCCUCCUGUGUGCGUGUGUGCGUGUCCCCGUAAAGGCGCCUCCCCUGGGCGCAAGUCAAGCCGCUUCUUUUCCUUUUCUAUGCUAUCGUCGUGUCCGCUGUCGGCGAAGAGGCCUCUCUUUGUGCUUUUGGUGUGUCUGCGUUGCUGGGGCGUUAUACAGAGUGGGCUGCAACGCGCGUAAGUACGUGUCUGUGCUCGCGUGCCGACAAGGAGGACGAGGACGAGGAGGAGGAGGAGGAGGAGAAGGGGCGAUGCGAGGAUAUGCCGAUGCGAAGUUGGCGUAUGCGCCGUGCGCGCACCUCCAUGACAGCAACACCCAACGUAAGAGAGAGAAUGUGUGUGUGUGUGUGUGUGGAAGCGAGCCGUAGGCAUUAAGCGAUCAACUAGGGCAUACGCACAGCACACAUCCUCACACGCUCAGACAUGCAUGCCAGACCCCCUUCCGUCACGGUGGACGCAGCGACAGUGCGGUAGUGCUCCCCGACGGCGGCUGCCGUGUCACUCCGCCACACGGUGCAUGGACGGCGUGAGCGCAGCACCACAGCAGCCCCCUUUGCGACCACCCCUGUUGCAGCCACGAGCAGGCCGAUAAUGGAGGCGGUGAUGAUGGGAGAGCGCAGGGAUGGUAAUGGUGGCGGUGCAUCUCUUUCUCUCUAUGCUUUUUUUCCGUCUCCACCAUUCGACGUUUCGCCU
rnacentral:misc_RNA from 1 species